rnacentral:rRNA from 1 species
CUACGGGCUGCAGCAGUGAGGAAUAUUGCACAAUGGGGGGAACCCUGAUGCAGCAACGCCGCGUGGAGGAUGACGCAUUUCGGUGUGUAAACUCCUUUUAUAUGUCAAGAAAAUGACGGUCGCAUAUGAAUAAGCACCGACUAACUCCGUGCCAGCAGCCGCGGUAAUACGGAGGGUGCAAGCGUUACUCGGAAUCACUGGGCGUAAAGGACGCGUAGGCGGGUUGGAAAGUCAGGUGUGAAAUCCUACAGCUUAACUGUAGAACUGCACUUGAAACUUCUAAUCUAGAGUAUGGGAGGGGGAGAUGGAAUUAGUGGUGUAGGGGUAAAAUCCGUAGAUAUCACUAGGAAUACCUAAAGCGAAGGCGAUCUCCUGGAACAUUACUGACGCUAAGGCGUGAAAGCGUGGGGAGCAAACAGGAUUAGAUACCCGAGUAGUC